rnacentral:rRNA from 1 species
AACGCGAAGAACCUUACCUGGGCUCGAAAUGUAGAUGAAGAUGCAAGAGAUUGCAUCGCUGUUAAAGGCAUCUAUAUAGGUGCUGCAUGGCUGUCGUCAGCUCGUGCCGUGAGGUGUUUGGUUAAGUCCAGCAACGAGCGCAACCCUUAUCGUUAUUUACCAGCGGGUAAUGCCGGGAACUAUAACGAGACUGCCUGAAGUUAAUUCGGAGGAAGGUGAGGAUGACGUCAAGUCCGCAUGGCCUUUAUGUCCAGGGCUACACACGUGCUACAAUGGUCGAUACAGAGGGUAGCCAACCCGCGAGGGGGAGCCAAUCUCAGAAAAUCGAUCUCAGUUCAGAUUGCAGUCUGCAACUCGGCUGCAUGAAGUUGGAAUUGCUAGUAAUGGCGUGUCAGCAACAACGCCGUGAAUACGUUCCCGGGCCUUGUA